rnacentral:rRNA from 1 species
CCAAAGGGGAUGCCUUCAGUAGCGGCAAGUGAAGCGGCAAGAGCUCAGAUUUGAAAUCGCCUCGGCGAGUUGUAAAUUGCAGGUUGGAGUCUUUGUGGCGGCGUGUGUCUAAGUCCCUUGGAACAGGGCGCCAUUGAGGGUGAGAGCCCCGUGCGGCACGCGGCUAAGCUUUAAGACCCUUCUGACGAGUCGAGUUGUUUGGGAAUGCAGCUCUUAGUGGGUGGUAAAUUCCAUCUUAGGCUAAAUACUGGCGAGAGACCGAUCGCGAACAAGUACUGUGAAGGAUAGAUGAAAAGCACUUUGAAAAGAGAGUGAAACAGCACGUGAAAUUGUUGAAAGGGAAGGGUAUUGGGCUCGACAUGGGGACUGCGCACCGUUGCUUCUUGUAGGCGGCGCUCUGUGCGGUUUCUGGGCCAGCAUCAGUUUUUGCCGCGAGAGAAUGGGGGGAGGAACGUGGCUCUUCGGAGUGUUAUAGCCUCUCUCAGAUGCCGCGAGCGGGGACUGAGGUCUGCGAUUCGUUCAAGGAUGCUGGCACAACGGCGCAUUACCGCCCGUCUAAAAAAAGGGAACAAACCCAAAAACACACCACA